rnacentral:rRNA from 1 species
UUUAUGGAGAGUUUGAUCCUGGCUCAGAGUGAACGCUGGCGGCGUGCCUAAUACAUGCAAGUCGAACGAUGAAGCUUCUAGCUUGCUAGAAUGCUGAUUAGUGGCGCACGGGUGAGUAACGCAUAGGUUAUGUGCCUCUUAGUUUGGGAUAGCCAUUGGAAACGAUGAUUAAUACCAGAUACUCCCUACGGGGGAAAGAUUUAUCGCUAAGAGAUCAGCCUAUGUCCUAUCAGCUUGUUGGUAAGGUAAUGGCUUACCAAGGCUAUGACGGGUAUCCGGCCUGAGAGGGUGAACGGACACACUGGAACUGAGACACGGUCCAGACUCCUACGGGAGGCAGCAGUAGGGAAUAUUGCUCAAUGGGGGAAACCCUGAAGCAGCAACGCCGCGUGGAGGAUGAAGGUUUUAGGAUUGUAAACUCCUUUUGUUAGAGAAGAUAAUGACGGUAUCUAACGAAUAAGCACCGGCUAACUCCGUGCCAGCAGCCGCGGUAAUACGGAGGGUGCAAGCGUUACUCGGAAUCACUGGGCGUAAAGAGCGCGUAGGCGGGAUAGUCAGUCAGGUGUGAAAUCCUAUGGCUUAACCAUAGAACUGCAUUUGAAACUACUAUUCUAGAGUGUGGGAGAGGUAGGUGGAAUUCUUGGUGUAGGGGUAAAAUCCGUAGAGAUCAAGAGGAAUACUCAUUGCGAAGGCGACCUGCUGGAACAUUACUGACGCUGAUUGUGCGAAAGCGUGGGGAGCAAACAGGAUUAGAUACCCUGGUAGUCCACGCCCUAAACGAUGGAUGCUAGUUGUUGGAGGGCUUAGUCUCUCCAGUAAUGCAGCUAACGCAUUAAGCAUCCCGCCUGGGGAGUACGGUCGCAAGAUUAAAACUCAAAGGAAUAGACGGGGACCCGCACAAGCGGUGGAGCAUGUGGUUUAAUUCGAAGCUACACGAAGAACCUUACCUAGGCUUGACAUUGAGAGAAUCCGCUAGAAAUAGUGGAGUGUCUGGCUUGCCAGACCUUGAAAACAGGUGCUGCACGGCUGUCGUCAGCUCGUGUCGUGAGAUGUUGGGUUAAGUCCCGCAACGAGCGCAACCCCCUUUCUUAGUUGCUAACAGGUCAUGCUGAGAACUCUAAGGAUACUGCCUCCGUAAGGAGGAGGAAGGUGGGGACGACGUCAAGUCAUCAUGGCCCUUACGCCUAGGGCUACACACGUGCUACAAUGGGGUGCACAAAGAGAAGCAAUACUGCGAAGUGGAGCCAAUCUUCAAAACACCUCUCAGUUCGGAUUGUAGGCUGCAACUCGCCUGCAUGAAGCUGGAAUCGCUAGUAAUCGCAAAUCAGCCAUGUUGCGGUGAAUACGUUCCCGGGUCUUGUACUCACCGCCCGUCACACCAUGGGAGUUGUGUUUGCCUUAAGUCAGGAUGCUAAAUUGGCUACUGCCCACGGCACACACAGCGACUGGGGUGAAGUCGUAACAAGGUAACCGUAGGUGAACCUGCGGUUGGAUCACCUCCUUU